CCGCAUGGCGUGGCCUACCAUGCGCGUCGAGCGUAACGGCAGUAUUGAAGCUUCGGUGGAUUUACUGGACGUCGAGCGGCGGACGGGUGAGUAACGGCUGGGAACCUGCCCUGACGAGGGGGAUAACCGUUGGAAACGACGGCUAAUACCGCAUAAUGUCUACGGACCAAAGGUGGCCUCUACAUGUAAGCUAUCGCGUUGGGAUGGGCCCAGUUAGGAUUAGCUAGUUGGUAAGGUAAUGGCUUACCAAGGCAACGAUCCUUAGCUGGUUUGAGAGGAUGAUCAGCCACACUGGGACUGAGACACGGCCCAGACUCCUACGGGAGGCAGCAGUGGGGAAUAUUGCACAAUGGGGGAGACCCUGAUGCAGCCAUGCCGCGUGUGUGAAGAAGGCCUUCGGGUUGUAAAGCACUUUCAGCAGUGAGGAAGGUCGUGUACUUAAUACGUGCACGGCUUGACGUUAGCUGCAGAAGAAGCACCGGCUAACUCCGUGCCAGCAGCCGCGGUAAUACGGAGGGUGCGAGCGUUAAUCGGAAUUACUGGGCGUAAAGCGCAUGCAGGCGGUUUGUUAAGUCAGAUGUGAAAGCCCGGGGCUCAACCUCGGAACCGCAUUUGAAACUGGCAGGCUAGAGUCUUGUAGAGGGGGGUAGAAUUUCAGUGUAGCGGUGAAAUGCGUAGAGAUCUGAAGGAAUACCAGUGGCGAAGGCGGCCCCUGGACAAAGACUGACGCUCAGAUGCGAAAGCGUGGGUAGCAAACAGGAUUAGAUACCCUGGUAGUCCACGCCGUAAACGCUGUCUACUGAGUUGAGUUUAGACUUUGGCUUUCGGCGCUAACGCAUAGUAGACGCUGGGGAGUACGCGCAAGUAAACUCAAUGAUGACGGGGCCGCACAGCGUGAGCAUGUGUAUCGAUGCACGCGAGACUACUACUCUGACAUCAGCGAGCUAAGAUGAGGCUGCCUCGAGGCUGAAAGUGCUGCAUGCUGUCGUCAGUCUGUUGUGAAUGUGGGUUAGUUCCGCACGAGCGCA
rnacentral:rRNA from 1 species